UGUGUACUCUCUUUCCCUAUCAGGAGGGCCUUGUCUCCUUCGAGGAGGUGGCUGUGUAUUUCUCCAUGGAGGAAUGGUGUGAGCUGGAUCCUGACCAAAAAGCUCUGCAUUGGGAAGUCAUGCUGGAAAAUUACAGGAACGUGGCCUCUCUUGGUGAUAAUGAGCAGGACCAUAAAGAGCCAAGGGAAUCAUUCCGAGGGUUCAUACAUGGA